AUAGAUAUAUAGGUGCAUAGAUUGAGGUGUGUAGGCCUAGGCUGCAUUUUUGGCUCUUUCCCCCUUGGCUGCCUUUUUCAUCUCUUGUUUUUCCCGCUGUGCCCCUUGUGUCCCCCUGUGCUGGGUCCGAGCUGGGGCCGGGCCAGGCGGAGCAGCAGUUGCAGCCCUGGCUGUCCCUGGAGCGGUGGGAGCUGCCGGUGGCCCCAGGCACUGUCCUGUGAGGAGCUGCUGAAGGACGCUGUGCUGAAGAGCUUGAGGACAUCCAGACACUGCCAGGAGGCAGCAGGGAGAAGCUGAAGGCCUGGAGCAAGAGCAGUGAGCAGGGAUGUGCUGGGGCCACGCGAGAGCCUGGAUGUCCCAUCUGCUGUCCCUGUCCAGGAGAGCUGCUCUGCAUGGAAGGAGAAGACUGAGGGAGAGGCUUUGAAGAUCAGGCGGCUGAUUUAUUCUUAUGUAGUUCUAUGGACAUUUAGACUAGGACAGUGACAUUUGUAUAUUUUCAAAUAGUUUUGUUUUAUACAUCUAUAUGUAUGUAUAUUGUAUGAAAUAUGUAAUAUUUAAUCUCUAUUUCCAUCUGUAGAUUGUUAUAUAUAUAUAUGUAGAGGUAUUUAGUUCUGUUUAAACAUGUAUGAAGUGGUGGAGUUGUAUAAUUGUAUCUAUGGAAUUCUUAGUACAGGGUUCUUUAGAGGGAGGCACUGAUAUUUUUGUAUUUCUGUAUGGGCUGUAAGCUUGUAAUCUGUAUUAAAUUAAGUUGUUA